AUUUAAAUAGCUUAUAAUUAGAGCAUAAUAUUGAAGAUAUUAAGGAGAUAGUAUUAUCUUUAGAUA
rnacentral:tRNA from 1 species